rnacentral:rRNA from 1 species
CAACGAAUAUUCCGCAAUGGGCGAAAGCCUGACGGAGCGACGCCGCGUGAGGGAUGAAGUCCCUUCGGGAUGUAAACUUCAAUAGUACGCCAGGAACCAAUCCUGGCUAAUAAUCAGGAAAGUUGACCAGCGUACGAAAGAGGCGGCUAACUCCGUGCCAGCAGCCGCGGUAAUACGGAGGCCUCGAGCGUUGUUCGGAAUCACUGGGCUUAAAGCGCGUGUAGGCGGAACGGUAAGUACCUUGUGAAAUCCCCGGCUUCAAUCCGGGAACUGCUUGGUAUACUGCUGUUCUUGAGGCAGGUAGGGGUCACUGGAACCUUAGGUGGAGCGGUGAAAUGCGUAGAUAUCUAAGGGAACGCCUGUGGCGAAAGCGGGUGACUGGGCCUGUCCUGACGCUGAGACGCGAAAGCGUAGGGAGCAAACG